UCAAGGUUACUAAUUUCAGAAUUGUCCACACUUGCAAAGGCCUGGAAGAAACCCAAAUUGCUAUCAGUAGGAUAUAAGGGUACAUUUACAGCUAUGAAUACUAGAACUAUGCGAAGCUGGGCCAUGUACCAAUGAACCGGGGCUCUCUCUGUAUCAGCAGUUGGGGACUGAAAGAUAGCUUGCCCGUAAAAGCAAUUGCUAGCAAGCUUGAUGACCUGCCCCAUUCGGUCUGAGGAUUCACAGAGGCUCAUGUUUUGGAACACUUGGUCCAGCUGAUGGUGCAAUUUGAGGACGUCAUGAAACCUUCAAGAGGUGGAGCAUGGAUAAGGAAGCAGACUGCUAGACUACGAAAUAAGGCAUCCGGGGAAAUGGAAUUUCUCCCCGGAUUUCUGUGCUUUGAGAAGAGAAAGCCUGAAUGA